rnacentral:tRNA from 1 species
GCACCCGUAGCUCAAUUGGAUAGAGCGUCGGACUUCGAAUCCGCAGGUUGCAGGUUCGAUCCCUGUCGGGUGUA